rnacentral:rRNA from 1 species
GAUGAACGCUGGCGGCGUGCUUAACACAUGCAAGUCGAACGGGAAAUAUUUCAUUGAGCCUUCGGUGGAUUUGAUUUAUUUCUAGUGGCGGGCGGGUGAGUAACGCGUGGGUAACCUGCCUUAUACAGGGGGAUAACAGUCAGAAAUGGCUGCUAAUACCGCAUAAGCGCACAGAGCUGCAUGGCUCAGUGUGAAAAACUCCGGUGGUAUAAGAUGGACCCGCGUUGGAUUAGCUAGUUGGUGGGGUAACGGCCCACCAAGGCGACGAUCCAUAGCCGGCCUGAGAGGGUGAACGGCCACAUUGGGACUGAGACACGGCCCAGACUCCUACGGGAGGCAGCAGUGGGGAAUAUUGCACAAUGGGGGAAACCCUGAUGCAGCGACGCCGCGUGAAGGAAGAAGUAUCUCGGUAUGUAAACUUCUAUCAGCAGGGAAGAUAGUGACGGUACCUGACUAAGAAGCCCCGGCUAACUACGUG